rnacentral:rRNA from 1 species
CCUACGGGAGGCAGCAGUGGGGGAUAUUGCACAAUGGGGGGAACCCUGAUGCAGCGACGCCGCGUGAGGGAAGAAGGUUUUCGGAAUGGAAAGCUCUAUUUGCAGGGAAGAAAAUGACGGUAACUGACUAAUAAGCCCCGGCUAACUACGGGCCAGCAGCCGCGGUAAUACGUAGGGGGCAAGCGUUAUCCGGAUGUACUGGGUGUAAAGGGAGCGUAGGCGGGUGUGCAAGUCAGACGUGAAAGGCGGGGGCCCAACCCCCGGACUGCUCUUGAAACUGUGAGGCUGGAGUGCAGUAGAGGUAAGCGGAAUUCCUGGUGUAGCGGUGAAAUGCGUAGAUAUUAGGAGGAACACCAGUGGCGAAGGCGGCUUACUGGACUGCAACUGACGUUGAGGCACGAAAGCGUGGGUAGCAAACAGGAUUAGAUACCCUGGUAGUC